CUAUAUACAGGGGGUACCAGUACAGAGUGAAUGUGGAGGCUAUAUACAGGGGGAACCAGUACAGAGUCAAUGUGGAGGCUAUAUACAGGGGGUACCGGUACAGAGUCAAUGUGGAGGCUAUAUACAGGGGGAACCGGUACAGAGUCAAUGUGGAGGCUAUAUACAGGGGGUACCAGUACAGAGUCAAUGUGGAGGCUAUAUACAGGGGGUACCAGUACAGAGUCAAUGUGGAGGCUAUAUACAGGUGGUACCGGUACAGAGUCAAUGUGGAGGCUAUAUACAGGUGGUACCGGUACAGAGUCAAUGUGGAGGCUAUAUACAGGGGGUACCGGUACAGAGUCAAUGUGGAGGCUAUAUACAGGGGGUACCAGUACAGAGUCAAUGUGGAGGCUAUAUACAGGGUGUACCAGUACAGAGUCAAUGUGGAGGCUAUAUACAGGGGGUACCAGUACAGAGUCAAUGUGGAGGCUAUAUACAGGGUGUACCAGUACAGAGUCAAUGUGGAGGCUAUAUACAGGGGGUACCAGUACAGAGUCAAUGUGGAGGCUAUAUACUGGGUGUACUGGUACCGAGUCAAUGUGGAGGCUAUAUACAGGGGGUACCGGUACCGAGUCAAUGUGGAGGCUAUAUACAGGGGGUACCAGUACAGAGUCAAUGUGGAGGCUAUAUACAGGGUGUUAAGUUGCAGAGUCAAUGUGGAGGCUAUAUACAGGGGGUACCGGUACAGAGUCAAUA
ensembl:lncRNA